UACACAUCACUCCCACCCUUCCUCUGGUGCAAGCGCCACUAAAUCUCACCCUAACAUCCCUUCGCUUUAGGAGAGACUUGCGAGAUUGUUAGAGGGAUCCAGGUGGCCAAAAUCUACGUGUAACGUAGUAGUGAAAGACUUGCUGAUUAUCUUGGCCAAUAUUAAAUAUCACCUACGUUUGGAGAUCUGCUGCUUUUGAUGAGUACGGAGGAAACUGAAACAAUCUCGGAACGGUACUGGUGUAAACGCAACCUAUUCUCGUACUGCGGGCAAAGCGCUCCCUUCGCUUGCGCUGCCUGACCGAGAGCUUUAUUUCUAUCCCCUGGUCUCUCUUUCUGACUCGGCGCAAGUCCUCCCCGUACGCUGCACCCAUCUUUUGACCCUGUACCCGCAGCGUCUUUUGGGAGACCACGGGACGGUACCGCAUCGGUUGCCGGGCUGUUUUGCUCAUUUCUGUGACGGUCCAACACCUGAUGUCGGGCCCAUUAAUCUUCGGCUCUAAAAUCUACAAAGUACCCACAGAAAUAGAAAUCUUUGG